AAAAUAAAAAUAAAAUUAUAAAAUUAUUUCAUCACACAAGAAAAUGACAUGUAUUAUUUAAC
rnacentral:sRNA from 1 species